ensembl:rRNA 5S_rRNA 5S ribosomal RNA
GUCUGUGGCCACACUACCCUGAACACACCCAAUCUCACCUAUCUUGGAAGCUAAGCAGGGUUGGGCCUGGUUAGUACUUGGUUUGGAAAUACAGGAGAUUAGAGAGCCCUAGGAU